CCAUUUCCGGUGUGUGCGUCCGCGUGUGAACCGGCGAGCUCAUGGCUUCCCUGGAGUCUUCCAGGCUGGACGGCCAGACUGGAGACAUGGAGACAGAGGUGCCACAGAGUGCAAGGUGGCUGUACUGUGGGAAGCCUGACGACAGGCAGAAAGCUGUGCUGGUUCAGUUCUCCAAUGGGAAGCUGCAGAAUCCAGGCAACAUGCGCUUCACCUUGUACAACAGCAACGACGUGGUAAACCCGAGGCUGAGGAAUCAGCGGAUCCUGGCAGCUGAAACAGACAGGCUCUCCUAUGUUGGAAACAAUUUUGGGACCGGCGCCCUCAAAUGCAACACUCUUUGCAGACACUUUGUGGGGAUUCUGAAUAAGACCUCCGGCCAGAUGGAGGUGUAUGAUGCCGAGCUGUUCAACAUGCAGCCGCUGUUUGUCGACGAUGCUAUUGAUCAUGAGUCCCCGCUGGACAGUCAGACCAAGACUUUCAGGGAAAAGUUGGAUUCUUGCAUUGAAGCCUUUGGAAGCACCAAGCAGAAGCGAUCCCUGAACUCCAGGAGAAUGAACAAAGUUGGCAGCGAAUCUUUGAAUCUCACAGUAACUAAAGCUGCAGAGAACAUCAUCGAUACAAAGGGUGUGAACGCUCUGGUCAGUGAUGCCAUGCAGGAUGACUUGCAAGAUGACUCCCUCUACCUUCCUCCCUGCUAUGCUGAUGCGACCAGGCCUGAAGACGUGUACAGAUUUGAAGACAUUCUGUCCCCGGCUGAGUACGAUGCUCUUGAGAGCCCUUCCGAAGCCUUCAGAAAUAUUACAUCAGAAGACAUACUGAAGAUGAUUGAAGAGAACAGCCACUGCUCCUUCAUCAUAGAAAUGCUGAAGUCUUUGCCAUCAGAUGAGCAGAGUCGAGACCGGCAAGCCCGAAGCAUCUGGUUUCUAGACGCCCUCAUCAGAUUUCGAGCUCAGAAAGUGAUAAAGGGAAAAAGUGCCCUGGGACCUGGAAUCCCCCACAUCAUCAACACGAAGCUGCUGAAGCACUUCACCUGCCUGACUUACAACAAUGGCAGUUUACAGAACUUAAUUUCAAAUUCAAUGAAGGCCAAGAUCACUGCGUAUGCAAUCAUCCUCGCCUUGCACAUAAGUAACUUCCAGAUCGACCUGACAGUGUUGCAGGGGGACCUGAAACUCAGUGAGAAAAGGAUGAUUGAGAUAGCAAAAGCCAUGAGGCUGAAGAUCUCCAAAAGAAAGGUGACGCUGGCAGAUGGCAGGGAAGAGGAUCACAGACUAGGCACUCUGUCUGUCCCACUGCCUCCAGCCCUGACCUCAGACCGCCAGCCAAAGCGGAAGAAGAUGAACUAGAUCUUUUCCAGGUGGCUUGCUCUGGCCAUAUCACAGCCACUUCUGUCCAGUCCCACUUUUAUUUUUUGAAAAAGGAAGCAGACUGGAUGUUGUGGUUCUCAGGAGACUGAGGCAGGCUGACUGUGGAUUCUGGGCCCAUCUGGGACUCUACUGUGCUCCACCACCCCAAGGCCUUACGUUUGCACGGUUAUCAACCUGAGCCAGCAUCCCAGCUGUGCCUCUCAUGCAGAGAUUAAAGGAUGGCCUAGGAUGGUACAGAAGAUGCUGCGGUUGCUGUGGUAACCACCUUCCACACGGGCUGUGAUCCUGGUCGCCAUGGCUGUCACCUUCUGCCCACUGUGGGACCCAGAGGAGCCCCUGACUGAGUUUUCAAGGUGAGGCCGUGCUGGAGGAUUCACCAGGCGCCAAGUGUCAGACCUAGAGGUGCAGAAGGAAAGCCAGUGAAUACGGAGAGUACUGGGUGACCCCUGCAUCUCACCUUUGGCUCCAGUUCUCUAGGUCUCCAAGUUUAAAUCUAGGUGUAGGUUUCAUCUUCUAAGUCAGUGACUGCCCAAUAAGGUGGAGUGAGAAACCAAGGGACAGAUCCCUGCUGCAUUUAUGCAUGGAACCUUGGUCACAUUUCCUCUGUGGUCCUCAACUUCCCCAUCUUUCUGGAUUUAGAUGUGAAUCAGUGGAUUUUAUCUCUAUCCUCCCCUCCCCGCCCCAAAGCGCACACACACCAGCUUUGUGAGCACGAA